CCGGCGAACUGGUCAGCGGCACCAUGACCAAUGUCUUCCUGUGGGAUGGUCGUUGCCUGAUGACGCCGCCGGUCGAUCGCGGCGGCAUCGCCGGU
rnacentral:tRNA from 1 species